CAGGACCCCCCUGUACGCCGUCCGCGGCCGUCCAGGGUCGCACCGGCGACGGAACCCGCCGGCAGCAAUUAGCCAGCAUCCCGGGGUCGGCCCCCAGAAGCAUUCCCCGGCCCAGGACGAGGAUGAACAGGACAGGCGAGGCACAAAGUCGCAACUUAACUUUUUAGAAACAUUAUUUGUGUGUGUAUGUGUGUAACAGGAGAGAAUGAGCUGAUGCCGAGGGUCCAGCCACCCCGCCUCUGCCUCCUCCUCCCCCUGCCGCCGCUGCCCUCGCAGACGCGCGCGCACACACGGCACUUGGGCCGGGUUUCCGCGCUCCGUCCCCCCGUUUGGAUGGGGGUUUUCAUUUCCGAAGGAGGCAGAGCCCGCGGAGCGCUCUGAAGGGCUGGAGCCCCAAGUUACUCCUCGCCAGCGCUGGCCGCCCGCUGUCACUCGCGCUGGCUGGCCGGGGGAAGGGACCUGCACACCGGGCUUUGUUGUGGAAAUCCCGGUUACCUGGCUUAUAACCCACACCAUGGAUAACUUACUGGACUUUGCCUGAAAGGAGUCAUUAGUGACAUUGGAUAUUUCACCGUCUUGGCCACAGGUUUUUCAGAAUGAAUGGAAGAUCAUGCAGCAUGAGUCUCCACCGGACAUCGGGAACCCCACAGGGGCCUAGGAUGGUCAGUGGUCAGCACAUUCCUGCCAUCCGAGCCCACUCCGGGACUCCUGGCCCCUCGCCCUGUGGCAGCACAUCGAGUCCCACUAUGGGAAGCCUUGCUAACAACCUCCAUCUCAAGAUGCCCUUAGGAGGAGGGAUGGCUCCUCAGAACAACGUGGCUGAGAGCCCCAUCCAUCUGCCUGCCUUAAGCCCCAGGAGACAAAUGCUCACCAAUGGGAAGCCGCGAUUCCAGGUCACCCAGGCUGGAGGCAUGUCAGGGUCACAUACUUUAAAGCCAAAGCAGCAGGAGUUUGGAAGCCCUUUUCCUCCAAAUCCUGGGAAAGGUAGGAUUGUCUUUCUGGGACCUUUUAAAAAUGGAAACGAUUUUUUUCUCCCCCAUCCCAUUUUCUGCCAGCAAAUCCUAUGGAAAAAUACAUGAUUCAGAGUCAGGGUCAAUGUUGAUGGUCUCAUAAUGAUAUAUAGCUUGCUCAGUAAGGGAGUGGGUGUGUAUGUGUUGGAGGGGACCACAGUGGUAAAUGCCGAGUAUGAGACAUCUCCUGGGACUGUGAAACAGAGUAACAGUAAGAUAGAAAGAUAGGAAAUAGGGAGGCAGGCUGGGUGGUUUGUGGUGGAAGGGUAAGAGUUAGGUUAGCAAGAUCCUGCCCUCCGGAUACAUGUAGCUCUGUCCUGUUUCCCUGGGGGCUGAAUUCUCCAGGCCAUGGACGAGAAGACUGACUGGAACUGUCUUUAUGCCAGUGCUAAAAGUGUAGUGUAGAAGAAAGGUGGUGUUUGAAAGGAAACGAAUUAAAAAAAAGAAGACAUUUUAAUAACUAAUAAAAUGAGGAAUC
rnacentral:sRNA from 1 species